AAGACUUUAAGUUAAAUAAACUAAUAACCUUCAAAGUUAUAAAUACAAGAAAAAUCUUAUAAGCCUUA
rnacentral:tRNA from 1 species